AGUGAUGAAAAAUUCAGCUUUCAUCACGAGUCACAAACGACGAUUUUUGUGCUUGAAAACUGAAAUGAGACGAAACCACAACACCAUUAACAAAGAAAUCACUCUACAGCCAUUUCAACAACAAAGCAUGCACACUUGAUCGCGGCCGGAAAAAUAUAUAUGAAAAUCCAUUUUCGGCCGGAGAGAGCGUCCGAGAAUAGUACAUUUCUAUACAAUUGAAAUAAUUU